ensembl:snoRNA SNORD31 Small nucleolar RNA SNORD31
CUCACCAGUGAUGAGUUAAUACCGCCCCAGUCUGAAAGCUAUGACGAAGGGUAUUUCUGAGUUGUG